GUGCAAGGCAUAGCGCCGGGACCGCAAUCUCUUCAGCGGUUGACGAGGCGGGGGUAAUCGAAAUUUUCGGCGGAUACCCCCCGGCAUACGGCAAGCCGUAAGGCAACGGUCAAAAAACGCGGGCAACUGCGCAACAAAGCCGCUGUUCUGCCGUAU
rfam:Firmicutes bacterium CAG:272 genomic scaffold, scf136